GAAAUUCAAAUAGAAAUACCAAUACCAUGCAUGACCUUCAUUGGUAGUAAUCAUUGGGUGGGACAAUUCCUGCGUAAGUUGACAACCAAGUCCGAAAGCAACCACAAAUCUUUUUUGGAGGUUGGCCAUGUCAUAUGUAAACAUUAGAGUCUUUAGUUACGAGCAUCUUUGGGUCCUGGUAUCCUUGGCAAUUUAACGUAUUUAGGAUAACGACAUUGAAGAGACGGGGAGGUAUGACCCUCAAAAUAUUUGAGAUAAGUGGAGCAGCUUGAUGUCUGAAGCAGUGUUGUAGCCAAGCAGCUCUCAUGAGACAGGUAUUUGGGCUUUGGUGUUGAAGGUUCUAUUUAAUUUGAAUAGUAAAAAAAAAAAUUGCUUGAAACCUACAUAGUAUGGUAGCCACGAGUAACU
rnacentral:sRNA from 1 species